rnacentral:lncRNA from 10 species
GUUUCGAAGGGACAAAGUCAAGGAGACUUCAAAGAUGAGAAAUGAUUGCACUGGGCCUUAGAGAGGAAGUUCAGCAGAACAAGGUGGGAAGGGCACGAUAUCAGAGAUCACCUGAUACUUCCAAGCAAGCAGGUGUUCUUUUCAGAAGCCAGAAGCUGAUAACCUGGGCUUUCUGAUCUAACCCCAGCCCAAAUUCAUUGCAAUGGAGGAAUUGGGGAGGAGAUUCUUCCUACUGAGAAGUGGGUGCCAACUCUCCCUUUCAAAUUUGUUCAUCAACAAACUAAAGGGGAUGCCAGAAAUGUCUGGAGCAAUGGAAGAACCACUGGAAUAAUGCUCCUGCCUGAUUGUAUCUACUUAACCCACUCUCCAAGAGCCAGAAUCAGAUUUCAACCGUAUGGAAUCAUCUACAAUGCAGCAGAUGGGUUUACAAGUCUCUUGGUCUCUUCAUGAAGAAGGCGCAGCAAUCGUGUCCCAAGUCCUUGAGGACUUCACAGGGUGUUCUAGUGUCCUGAGAAUAUACCUGCCUAAGGAAUUUGGCUAUAGCUGGUAUUGGGUUCCUCAAACCAGCCCACCUGCGCUAUGGGAAUGUCAAAAUUGUCCUGGCAAGCUGAGGGGGCAUCCAGAGGUCACCCAGCUUUCCCCUGAAGCGUUGCUCAGAGGCCACUGUACCAUAAAAGGGAGUUCCCAUCCCACACUGGUUCUGAAAGCCCUGGUGUCCAGGCCCGUGUUGUGAUCUUUUCUCCUCUGCCUAGGGCGUAUCUGUUAGGGAGACUCCCAUGAGGGAGGGGAGCCGAGGGAAGAGGCUGAGUGAGGUGAAGAGAGUGUGUUUGUCCCUCCAGCUGUGCCAGGGUCUUCUCAGCCCUUCUCACAGAGGGCUGUCUGUGGACCUCUGUUCCUGGAAUCACCCCUCUGCACCACCCAAACUCCCUGAUUAUGAAUUACACAAUACAUCCCUAAUUCAAGCAUGCUGCACCGGUUUUCUGUAGUCACAUGAAAAUUAACUUACAGAAAUUCACUUUUAUUGAAUACCUACUGUGUGGUAGGCACUGUGGUGGGAUUCUGCCAUUCGAGAAUCUCAGACUAAGAUCAUCUGUUUCAACAAGCAUCGAUCAAGCACCCACAUUGCAGCUGGCACUCUGCUUGAUGGUGAGAUGAGUGUCAAGACCAGUUCCUUAUUUUACAGGGAAGGCCAUCAAGGUUGAAAGUGGAAAUUUCCCAAGGUCAGAGACAGAGUGGUAGAGCCAGUCCAUGCAUUCUGGUCUCCUGUCUCCUGUUCCAGUGCUCAUUCGUGACACUGCUGCUCUCCCUAACACUUCAUCCCACGAGAAUACUCUUGAGAAUAUUGUUCUUGGCUGUUCCAAAUAGAAAGAUCAUCUGUCCAUUAUUCAGGUGAUAUGGGCUGAGGUCUUGCCUCUUCUAGUCACUUGGAGAAAGUUCCAGAAGCAAAGACUAUGUACCUAAUAUUCCUUUAACUCUGUUUUCCUGGGGCCAUAUUUAACUGUGGGUGUUUUCUGUUUCAACUGGUGGCCUGUGGGAAAGAGGUAGUGCCUGGCAGGCUGGCCAAGGACACGGGGACUAAAGAACAAUGUUGGAAGGAGAUGGGGGCAGCGUGAGGGAGGAGGCGAAGACAUAUUGUGGGGGAGUCUUCACCCCAAUUGAAGUCACCUAAAAUCACUCCUUUGUAACUAGAAGACUAAGAAACACUUGUGAAAGCAGGUGAAAGCUGAAAGCACAUCUGUGUGUGUGUCGGGGGUAAGUGUGAGGUGUGGCCGAGAGGCUCAGCUGAAGGAAGUCUCGUAGGCUGGUCCCCAUAUCUAAAGCAAACACACACACAAAACAUUCUAGUGUGACUCCCUCUUCUGCAGGAUAUUCCUUCCCAGGGGCUCCGGACUGGAAAGGUCUUCUCUCAAGCCUAGGGAAAACAAGGAGUUUCUACUUUUUGCUCCUUGCCCCCAAACAGAGAGACAAUGGCCUUGUGUAUGCAAUGGCACUUUUGUCAAGAUGGAGCCGCACAGCUUCCAUGAGGCUGAGGUGAGGAAAAGUGCAUCUCUGCGAACGUGGCUCGGCUCCAGCUCCCUCCACUCGGUGCUCUGCCUGCCAAUUAGCGCAUCCGUCCUUCCCCACAGGUGGGGAAGUGGCCCGUACUG